AGAGGCGUCUGGCGCAGGUGACACUUCCCACCCAGCGGCGUUAUCGUAUCGAUGCGUCCAGCUUCCCGAGAAAGGACAGAGGAGAAGCCAAAACACAGACACUGGAGACUCCAAGCCUCUGAGACGCCGCGGCCCUGCCCUCAGUCAUCUCCCAGGGGUCCUCGCUUUCAAGAUGUCCUCCCGUCUGGGUGCCUCCCGUCCUGACUCUUGCACACUAAGAACUCGCUAACCGACAACGUCGUAGUCCUUCACGAAACUUUACAUCGAUUAGUCUGGCAGGCUGUUCUCUGAUGUUUUGAUUUGUCCUUCCAGGCAUUAAAUAACCCGUAAGGUCUGUCAUGCCUGCCUAACCCAUUACUGAUACUUCAUGACUGUACUGUCUCAGUCUCUCAAUACGAAGAGUCGUACUGAAGGGCCUCACCAACUACUGCAGUAUUGAAUCCAACUUUAUUCUGGUUGUAGUAACUAUUAUGUGGUGGAUGUCAGAAAAUGAAAGAGAAACUGCUUUUGUAAUCAA